CUGCGAAUGGCUCAUUAAAUCAGUUAUCGUUUAUUUGAUAGUACCUUACUACUUGGAUAACCGUGGUAAUUCUAGAGCUAAUACAUGCUAAAAACCCCAACUUCGGAAGGGGUGUAUUUAUUAGAUAAAAAACCAACGCCCUUCGGGGCUUCUUGGUGAUUCAUGAUAACUUUACGGAUCGCAUGGCCUUGCGCCGGCGACGGUUCAUUCAAAUUUCUGCCCUAUCAACUUUCGAUGGUAAGGUAUUGGCUUACCAUGGUUUCAACGGGUAACGGGGAAUUAGGGUUCGAUUCCGGAGAGGGAGCCUGAGAAACGGCUACCACAUCCAAGGAAGGCAGCAGGCGCGCAAAUUACCCAAUCCCGACACGGGGAGGUAGUGACAAUAAAUACUGAUACAGGGCUCUUUUGGGUCUUGUAAUUGGAAUGAGUACAAUUUAAACCUCUUAACGAGGAACAAUUGGAGGGCAAGUCUGGUGCCAGCAGCCGCGGUAAUUCCAGCUCCAAUAGCGUAUAUUAAAGUUGUUGCAGUUAAAAAGCUCGUAGUUGAAACUUGGGUCUGGCUGGCAGGUCCGCCUCACCGCGUGUACUUGUCCGGCCGGGCCUUCCUUCUGGAGAACCUCAUGCCCUUCACUGGGCGUGUUGGGGACCAGGACUUUUACUUUGAAAAAAUUAGAGUGUUCAAAGCAGGCCUUUGCUCGAAUACGUUAGCAUGGAAUAAUAGAAUAGGACGUGCGGUCCUAUUUUGUUGGUUUCUAGGACCGCCGUAAUGAUUAAUAGGGACAGUCGGGGGCAUCAGUAUUCAAUUGUCAGAGGUGAAAUUCUUGGAUUUAUUGAAGACUAACUACUGCGAAAGCAUUUGCCAAGGAUGUUUUCAUUAAUCAGUGAACGAAAGUUAGGGGAUCGAAGACGAUCAGAUACCGUCGUAGUCUUAACCGUAACUAUGCCGACUAGGGAUCGGGCGAUG
rnacentral:rRNA from 1 species